GAUGAACGCUGGCGGCGUGCCUAAUACAUGCAAGUCGAGCGAACGGACGAGAAGCUUGCUUCUCUGAUGUUAGCGGCGGACGGGUGAGUAACACGUGGAUAACCUACCUAUAAGACUGGGAUAACUUCGGAAAACCGGAGCUAAUACCGGAUAAUAUUUUGAACCGCAUGGUUCAAAAGUGAAAGACGGUCUUGCUGUCACUUAUAGAUGGAUCCGCGCUGCAUUAGCUAGUUGGUAAGGUAACGGCUUACCAAGGCAACGAUGCAUAGCCGACCUGAGAGGGUGAUCGGCCACACUGGAACUGAGACACGGUCCAGACUCCUACGGGAGGCAGCAGUAGGGAAUCUUCCGCAAUGGGCGAAAGCCUGACGGAGCAACGCCGCGUGAGUGAUGAAGGUCUUCGGAUCGUAAAACUCUGUUAUUAGGGAAGGACAUAUGUGUAAGUAACUGUGCACAUCUUGACGGUACCUAAUCAGAAAGCCACGGCUAACUACGUG
rnacentral:rRNA from 1 species